AUGGGUGUAUUUCAUACACACAGGAAAAAAAGAAAGAAGGAAGGAAAGAAAGAAAUUUUCUCUGUGGACUCCUCCCUACGCCCAGGAUUCUUCUGGGACCUCUGCAAACAAAGCUGCAGCCCCAAUUUCGUGAGCCAACAGCGAUUUCCCCCCCUAAGGUAUCUUUUGCUCAUUGAACACUCUUGUUUAACUUCAAAGAACGGAAGAAGUCCUAGGAGAGGAGAGGCAGGGGGCCAAGGGCGCCUCUCUGUAUCCUUUUUACUCCCCACUACUGAAAAUCUCUUUGGCCCCCCUCUUUCUUCAAGAAGAGCAUUCAAGAGCUCCCUACCCCUCUUUAACACUUGGAAUAAAACAAAAUCUUUUUUUUUCUUCCAUAUCAUUUUCUACUUUUAUCUGAGGUAGAUAUGGAAAGGGAACUUGGGAACAAUUAAACUAUUGCAGA
rnacentral:lncRNA from 1 species